rnacentral:rRNA from 1 species
AACGCUGGCGGCGUGCCUAACACAUGCAAGUCGAACGAGAAAGCGGGGGCAACCCUGCGAGUACAGUGGCAGACGGGUGAGUAACACGUGAACAACCUACCCUUGAGUGUGGAAUAACCCAGCGAAAGCUGGGCUAAUACCACAUAACACCCCCGGGUCGCAUGAUCUGGGGACCAAAGGCGCAAGUCGCUUGAGGAGGGGUUCGCGCCUGAUUAGCUAGUUGGUGAGGUAACGGCCCACCAAGGCAACGAUCAGUAGCCGGCCUGAGAGGGCGUACGGCCACACUGGAACUGAGACACGGUCCAGACUCCUACGGGAGGCAGCAGUGGGGAAUUUUGCGCAAUGGGCGAAAGCCUGACGCAGCAACGCCGCGUGGAGGAUGAAGGCCUUCGGGUCGUAAACUCCUGUCAGGGGGGACGAAGGUCGGGAAACCGAUUUGACUGUACCCCUUGAGGAAGCCACGGCUAACUCCGUGCCAGCAGCCGCGGUAAUACGGAGGUGGCAAGCGUUGUUCGGAAUUACUGGGCGUAAAGGGCGCGUAGGCGGCUCGGCAAGUCAGAUGUGAAAGCCCCAGGCUUAACUUGGGAAUUGCAUCUGAAACUGCUUUGCUUGAGUCCUGGAGGGGGUAGUGGAAUUCCCAGUGUAGCGGUGAAAUGCGUAGAUAUUGGGAGGAACACCGGCGGCGAAGGCGGCUACCUGGACAGUGACUGACGCUGAGGCGCGAAAGCUAGGGGAGCGAACG